rnacentral:rRNA from 1 species
UACGGGGGGGGCAAGCGUUGUUCGGAAUUACUGGGCGUAAAGAGCUCGUAGGCGGUGUGUCGCGUCGGCCGUGAAAACCUGCAGCUUAACUGUGGGCUUGCGGUCGAUACGGGCAUCACUGGAGUUCGGCAGGGGAGACUGGAAUUCCUGGUGUAGCGGUGAAAUGCGCAGAUAUCAGGAAGAACACCCGUGGCGAAGGCGGCUCUCUGGGACGGUACUGACGCUGAGACGCGAAAGCGUGGGGAGCGAACAGG